CCGGAGUCAUUGGGCGUAGUGGGCGCGUAGGCGGCCGUUCAGGUCUGGAGUGAGAGUCCUGUUUUCAAGAGGGGAGUUCGCUUUGGAUACUGGACGGCUUGAGUGCGGGAGAGGUUAUCGGAGUUCCCGGUGUAGCGGUGAAAUGCGUAGAGAUCGGGAGGAGCACCAGUGGCGAAGGCGGGUAACUGGACCGCAACUGACGCUGAAGCGCGAAAGUGUGGGGAGCAAACAGGAUUAGAUACCCUGGUAGUCCACACUGUAAACGAUGAAUGCUAGGUGUAGGAGGUAUCGACCCCUUCUGUGCCGGAGUCAACACAAUAAGCAUUCCGCCUGGGGAGUACGGCCGCAAGGUUGAAAACUCAAAGGAAUUGACGGGGGCCCGCACAAGCAGCGGAGCAUGUGGAUUAAUUCGACGCAACGCGAAGUACCUUACCAGGUCUUGACAUCCAGUAAAGCCUGUAGAGAUACAGAGUCCCUUUCGGGGGUACUGAGACAGGUGGUGCAUGGUUUGUCGUCAGCUCGUGUCGUGAGAUGUUGGGUUAAGUCCCGCAACGAGCGCAACCCUUGCCGAUAGUUACUAACGGGUGAAGCCGAGGACUCUAUUGGGACUGCCGGGGACAACUCGGAAGGAAGGUGGGGGACGACGUCAAAUCAUCAUGGCCCCUUAUGACCUGGGCUUCACACGUGCUACAAUGGCCGAAAACAAAGGAGGCGCGAAUCCGGUAAGGAAGAGCAGAUCUCAAAAACUCGGGUCUCAGUUCGGAUUGGUGGGCUGCAACCCGCCCACAUGAAGUCGGAGUUGCCUAGUAAUCGCGGGAUCAGC
rnacentral:rRNA from 1 species